rnacentral:lncRNA from 1 species
ACCUGUGAUAUACAUAAACUGAGUGGGUCAGGUUGGGAAACCUGGUGAGUACAUAGGGUUUUCAACCCACAAUAAUAUAAUUACUAUGUUCAAUCAAACAAUCAACCCAAUUACCCAUCCCCAUUAUCUUCUUUACUCUUUAAGGAUUUAACCUAAGAGUCAUCUAUCCUGCAUUUGUUUAUUCCGAAGUCCCUUACCUCCAGGGUUAUAGGACUGGCACUAAAUCCAUAGCUGCCAAUGUUCGUUCAUAAAGCACUAAUUCCAUAGCUGCUAUAGUCUAUUCAUCGGGUACUAAAUCCAUAGCUACCAGUCUUUAUCUAAUAGGUACUAAGUCCAUAGCUACCAAUGUUCAACAGGUACUAAGUCCAUAGCUACCAAUUCCUACAGGUACUAAAUCCUUAGCUAUCAUCGUCUAACUAAUAGGUACUAAAUCCAUAGCUACCAAUUCUCAACAGGUACUAAAUCCAUAGCUACCAACGUCUAACAGGUACUAAGUCCAUAGCUACCGGUGUUUGUCCCAUAGGCACUAAGUCUAUAGCUGCCAAUGUAUACUCACGUCAUCUUCUAUCUCUCAUCAUUCAUCUACCCAUCUCAUACCCAACAUUUUCGUAUAUAUAAAAUACGUAUACAGUUUAAGUCCUUUAAAACAUGUAUAAAACGUUCAACCAGCAUAGACAGCAAGUAUUCAGAUAAUAUGCACACAUAGCACGUAGUUUAUAUAAAAUACUUCAUAUCUAUGUGUAAGAUGAAAGGGACUAUGCACUCACCUGAUUAGGUGGUGACUCAGCACUCGGACAGCGCUUCGAUAC